UACGUAGGCAGCAAGCGUUGUUCGGAGUUACUGGGCGUAAAGGGUGCGUAGGCGGCUAUUUAAGUCGGUGGUGAAAUCCUGGAGCUCAACUCCAGAACUGCCUUCGAUACUGAGAGUCUCGAGUCCGGGAGAGGUGAGUGGAACUGCGAGUGUAGAGGUGAAAUUCGUAGAUAUUCGCAAGGACACCAGUGGCGAAGGCGGCUCACUGGCCCGGUACUGACGCUGAGGUGCGAAAGCGUGGGGAGCAAACAGG
rnacentral:rRNA from 1 species